AUGAAUGUAGCUUAGUGGUAAAGCACCCGACUGAUAAUCGGGAGACCGCAGGUUCAAAUCCUGCCAUUCAUA
rnacentral:tRNA from 1 species